UACGGGGGGAGCAAGCGUUGUUCGGAUUUACUGGGCGUAAAGGGCGCGUAGGCGGCCAGCACAAGUCAGUUGUGAAAUCUCCGGGCUUAACUCGGAAAGGUCAACUGAUACUGUGCGGCUAGAGUGCAGAAGGGGCAACUGGAAUUCUCGGUGUAGCGGUGAAAUGCGUAGAUAUCGAGAGGAACACCUGCGGCGAAGGCGGGUUGCUGGGCUGACACUGACGCUGAGGAGCGAAAGCAUGGGGAGCGAACAGG
rnacentral:rRNA from 1 species